rnacentral:rRNA from 1 species
GGUAUGUAAAGCUCUAUCAGCAGGGAAGAAAAAAAUGACGGUACCUGACUAAGAAGCCCCGGCUAACUACGUGCCAGCAGCCGCGGUAAUACGUAGGGGGCAAGCGUUAUCCGGAUUUACUGGGUGUAAAGGGAGCGCAGGCGGUGCGGCAAGUCUGAUGUGAAAGCCCGGGGCUCAACCCCGGGACUGCAUUGGAAACUGUCGUACUUGAGUAUCGGAGAGGUAAGUGGAAUUCCUAGUGUAGCGGUGAAAUGCGUAGAUAUUAGGAGGAACACCAGUGGCGAAGGCGGCUUACUGGACGAUAACUGACGCUGAGGCUCGAAAGCGUGGGGAGCAAACAGGAUUAGAUACCCUGGUAGUCCACGCCGUAAA